rnacentral:lncRNA from 1 species
CUGAGUAGCCUCAUUGAAAAAAUUAUUAGUUCUAUAUCUCGCAUACCUUCUUCGUACUUUGUGUCAUUAUACUCCUUGUUCAGCAUCAUAAACCUUAUGAGCUCUUUGUAAUCUUCUAUAUUGUCCUCAAAGUACAUCAAUGAAUGUCCUAAACCAAUAUUGAAAACAUUGCAUCCCACAUCAAUCUCGCAAUAUAGAAGAGAAAAUUGAUCUAAUAAGCAUUGUUGCUAAACUUAUGCUAGAUAACGUCAUUUCAAAAAAAUUAAUUUAAUUUUUGGUACUCAACAUUAGUUUAUUCAUAAAUCACUUGAUGUAUCACGUCAGUGUUACUUAGCACAAGAUAACAUGAAUACUUGGUAAAUCAUCUAACACUAUAUGCGUAUAUCAUCAAAUGCAUCGUUCAUGCAUCAAAAAUCCCUACCUUGCUUGAAUUGGAAGACAACAAACCUUCUUGCUUCACCAUGUAAUUUACAAAUUCCAUAUUGCUCACGUAUUUCAUUCAGAAUGUGAUCUUCAAUUAAAUCAUGACUAAAUUAGAAAUCGUGCCAAGAUAUCAUUACUUGACAAAAAUUGCCACAUUCAUCAACUGUACCUCACCCACCCUACCUCAUUCCCAAGGUGGACCAUUGGUGCCAUUGCAUCCCCAUGUUGGUGCUUCAAGUGCCGUUGGCAGUCUAUGCUACUUUGGGCACAAUAGGCAGCAUACAUUAGCGCCAUGGCACAUCCAUGUUGCUACACUUGGAUACUGUAGGUGUCAACUUUGCUGCCAUAAGGUGUCGUAUCACUCAAAGAAGACAACACAUCAUUUCAACUGUUACAAAGAACCAUGUAAAGCCCCAAAACUUAUGUCCCGACAGUUACUUAAAUAAUUCCUUUAGCUAUUAUAAAAGUUCAUUAACACAUUGCAAUACAAAAAAUUUCAAGAACUUUGUGGAAUAAAAUAUGCUACUUUAUUGUCUCAUAAUAUGUCAAAUAAAUUCAAUCCACUAAUGAAAUCAAUUUUGAAAACAAAAUUCCAAUUUGCAAAAUAAUUUUAAAUUAAAUACUAAAUGUUGACCUCAGCUUUGAAAUUCAAUGAACUUCAUAUUUGUUCAUGUUAGCUGAGUCAUUAGGAUGCAAUCUUUGAAAUUCAAUGAAUCUUCCAUAUAACCUGCUAAUCCUAGGAAGUUACGGGUUUCUCUAACAUUAGUUGGUCGAUAAAAACUGGUGAUUACUUAGACUUUACCUGGGUGAACUUCUAUUCCUUAGGCUGUGAUCACGUGGCCCAAAAAUCCCACUCCAUUGAGCCAAAAUUCGUAAUUUUUGAAUUUGGUAAAGAGCUUCUCCUUCUUCAAUAUUUAGAGAAUAAUUCUUAAGUGUUUUGUAUGCUAAUGCUCACUUUUUGGAACAUAUUAGUAUAUCGUCAAUGAAGACAAUAACAAAGUGAUUCAGAUAGUUGUGAAAAACUCUAUUCAUGAAGAUUGCUGGUGCACUAGUUAAACCAAAUGACAUAAGCAAGAACUCAUCGUGCCUAUGUCGAGUUCUAAAUGCUGUCUUAGAAAUGUCAGUUGCUUUAAUUUUCAAUUGAUGAUAGCCUGACCGUAAAUCAAUUUUCGAGAAGACCUUGACACAUUGUAGCUAGUCAAAUAAAUCUUCAAUUCUAGGGAGGUGAUACUUAUUUUUAAUUGUAAUAAUGCUUAGCUCUCAAGUGAUACUUAUUUUUAAUUGUAAUACGGCUCUUAGCUCUCGAUAAUCGAUGCACAUUCUCAUUGUUUCUUCUUUCUUCUUUAUGAACAAUAUUAGGGCUCUCCAUGGUAAGUUACUGGGUCUAAUAAAACCCUUGUCUAGCAACUCCUACAAUUGUACUUCCAAUUCCUGAAGUUCUACCGAUGCCAUACAAUAAGAAGCCUUAGCACCCAGUACGAGGUUAAUAGUAAACUCAACCUCUUGGUCUAGAGGCAUUCCUAAAAAAUUUUCUAGAAACACAUCUAAGAAAUCUUUGUCUACUCGAACUUCGUUUAUAGUUAGCUCAUUUUGAUUAAUGCUGGUUAAAGAUAUUAAGACCCUUGAACUGAUUUCUCUUUCAACAAUUUUUCAGCCUGUACUACUGGUAUAAGUCGAGAUAGGAGCUUCAUCCUUAAAAAAAUAAACUUCUUCUUCACCAGGUCGUUGAAAAAUUACAUCCUUCUCAAAACAACGAACAACCAGUCCAUUCAAGUAUAACGUCAAAAUCUUUCAUGUUUAGGACCACCAAGUCUUUGUUUAUAAUAUUCCCAUCCAUUUCUAAGUUUAGGUUUCUCGCUAUAAAAUUUGCAUUAAGCAUCUUCUCAAAUGUUAGUAAAAAAACGAAUAUGUUAUCAAGGGCUACACAUUUUAUAUUUAACUUUGAAACGAAUAUCGAAUAAACAAACAAAAAUAUAGCCCCUGAAUCAAUUAAUAUAAAAGCAGGCAUAUCAGAGAUUGAUAUGCUACUUGUCACCACAUUGCAGUCUUGCUUGACCACUUCCUAGGUUAAAGCAAAAUCUCUAGCCUUGUCCACCUUUUGAUCUUCAGCAUUUUUAGGUUGUCCCUUAGUGCAAACUUUAACAAUAUUUCCUGGCUUGCCACAUCUUUAAUAGACACCUUUUUCUUGCCAUUUAUUCUUCGCGAUGAGAUUUUUAACAUUUGGGACAGAGUGAUCGUUGAUUAUUGUCAGUAAUGUAGGCACCCAUUUUUUGUCAUUCUCUUCUCGUUGGGACCUUUUCCAUUCCUCUUGAUAUUGCUAUACCAUUUGCCCUUGUCUAAGAAGCUUGUCUAUUAUUUACUACUUUCACCAAUCUGGUCAUCAUCAAAGGCAUACACUUGAGCCUUCUCCAGAACUCUGAUAAGUACCCAAUUGGAGUAUUGUCGCUACUUUCCUAAUAUCAGUUCUCAGCACAAGCUCAAAACAUCGAGCUUUUCUCUCCUCUAUGUCCACCGGACGUGGGACAAAUCUGGAUAACUCCUUGAACUUUUAUUAAUAAUCAGUGAGUGUCUUGUUUUCUUGUUACAGCACAGAAACUAUGCUUCUUUCUAGUCUCUUAAAGUAGCUGUAAAGUACUUUUGAAGCACUAUCUCUUCGAAUUGUUUCCAAGUAAGAUUACUCUAUUACUCCUUAGUGGGGGAUCUAGUAGUCAUCUCCCACCAAUGACCUACUCAUUUCUCCAUCAUAAAUACCGCACAAUUCUUGUGCUUUAGUGCAUUCCAUAAACAUGAAAAUACGCUCAAGAUGGCGAAGCCAUUCUUUAGCAGCUAGUGGAUCAAUGUUAUUUUCAAACACGAGCGGGUACAUCUUGUGAAACUAUUUUAUAAUCGGAGAUGAUCCAGGCCUAUUUCACGAUUGUUGCAACUCUCACAUAGUAGCUAGUAAUUCUCAUGCUAAGUUAGUUGCCAUCUAAACCUUAAAUUGAAAUCCCAAAAAUAGCUAAUCAAGAGGGGGUGAAUUGAAUUUUAAAACUUUUUCGAAGAUUAAUCCAAAUUUAAGCAAGUUAAGAAUAAAUGAGUCAAUCAAACAAAAAUAUACAAGUACGAAAGCAAUAAGUAAAAGGAAAGAAAGUAUGCAAAUGAUGUAAUUGUGGAGAUUCAAUCCCAAUCAAUGAUCUACAUUUUUCGUUAUCAAGUUUUCAGCCAUAAGCAAGAUUUUUUACUAAAUCUGAUUGACUUAUGAUGUAGUCAAAAUCCUUACAAUACUUUUGACGACUUACAAAUAAAGAGCACCGAUCCUUCUAUAAUAUUUCCGAAACCUCAAUAUGACCCAAAAAUUUAAAGAGAAAUAAUUUCACAAUUUGAAACUUCUCUCUUAAUAAAUGAUAUAAUCCAACUAAGCAUAAAGAGAAAAAUAAGCUAACACUUCAAUAAAUAACAAUGAAUGAAACUCAAGUGUUAGGUGAGAAAAACUUUGAUUAGAAGAAUGAUUUUCAAAGGUUGAUUCAAUAAAAAGUUUUUUUAAAAGUAAAUGAAUUGAUAAAAAUAAACAUGAUCUACAAUAUAAUUUAGCUCAAAAACUAACCAAAAAACUUAUCUGAACAUCCGUAUUGUGAGCCGUGGUGUGUCAGAAUUCAAAAAGGUCAAAAAAAUGACCGUUGAAUGAAUCGAACGUCCAUAUGGCAAAGUCGGAAGUCCGAUUGGGUAGAAACUUCCCUGAAUUUUUCUUUCUUGAUUGUUUUGAAAAAUGUAAGCUUUUGAAGAAAGUUUUUAUUUAGUUUUCAAAAUGAAUGAUAUUGUAAAAAGUUUAAAUAUCAAAUUGAAAUUCUUACCCCUUGAAAAAUAAUUUUUAUGCAAGCGUUUUUAUAAAGUAAAUUUCUCGUGCAUAAAAAAUCAUUCAUUUGAGCUUUUAUUGAUUCAUUACUAAAGAUUAAAUCAUUUUACCUUUACACAUGAAUGCAAAACAUCUAAAUCUAAUAUCUUCGAUGUUCGACUGUUGAAAUUCUUGUCUUCGAGUUAUUUAACGUGAAUGCUCGGCUUCCAUCUCGAUUUUUAUCGAUAAUCUAUUGUGAUUGUUUUAGUAGUAAUCUUUUUAUCUCCAAUUGAUCAACUAUACAACAAUAGCUAUGAAGACUCGAAUUCAAUUGUUGGAGAUAAAAACAAUUUGUUUGUUAUAAUCAAAAUAUGAAAUCAACCAUAGGUCAAUAUAAAUAUAAGGAUCGUAUAUUAGAGGCCAUUCAUGUAAGUUCAACUAACCAAAUAUAGCUAAUAACAAUAAAUUACUUUAGUAUAAAUAGUGUUGUUUCUAUUUAAUAUAUUUUUACUGUUUCCAAUAAAAUUUGGCUAAAUAGGUUUUGCAUCGCUUUUGCAAUAUUGUUUUUCAUCUUAUUGAUUUCAAUUACGAGCAAUUGAAAAGGCUUCCAAGUGAGGAGGGGAGCACAAGUGGACCACUUAAAUCCCAAACCCACCUUAAACAGUUUAGGUCCUUUUAACAGUCUUUCAUUCUUGUGAAUACGCAAAUCAAGGAAACUCAAACAAGGAAUUUCCAAUAAUUUUCUCUCUCUCUCUCUCUCUCCCUCUCUCCUUUUAUUUUUAUUUUUUACUUUGUAGCUGCCAUGUCAGUUAUCAAUUCUAUAACUAUACUAAUCACACUUUUUCAUGUUCAAAUUGUUAAACAUGAACAAUGAAUACAUAUAAAAGAGUCAGUGCAGAGUCAUGAGCAUCACCAAUUUGCUAAUUAGAAGACACUUUUCUGGAAAAUCAAUAUUAAAUUGGAUAUAGCAAAUAAUAUAUAAAAUUUAAGAAGCAUAUUCCUAAGACAAAUAAUCAAAUCUUAAAUAAGUAAAAGAUCAUAUUUUACAAUAUAGUUAGAAACAAUUUGACAGAAAACUAAAUCAUUAAUUCAACUCGUAAAGGCAGUUAACAAACAUAAAUGCAUGAUACCAUAAAUUAUAUUUAUUAUUAUAGAAAGAGAGAAAAGGAGAAGACAGAAUGAAAGUCAAUAAUUUUUUGUUUUUUAUUAAGAAAAAAAGCACUAUAUGUAGUUAAGAAUCAGAAAUACAACGCUAAUAAUUUCUAGGAUUGCUAAGGUAAAAUUGUCAUUCACUAAUAAACUUACCAUUUACAAAACCCCGCUUAAUGAACAUUACAAUAUAUCUGCUUCAUUGAAACCUUGUUUGAUAAAAAUUUAUUGGGACAAAAAAAUCAAACGAAUAAAAAAGAAUACAGUUAUUUUGGAAUGUUAAAAAUAAAUGAUGCAUCAAUUUGUUAGGACUCCACUAAAGGAACAUAAAAAUGAAGAAUUUUAUUGGAUCUAUGAAUGGAAAAAAUAAGUAUGGUAAUAAUUUUUUUUUGAAAAAUUUAAUUGAAACGAACUUUGUAUGAUUUUAAACUAAAAAUUUAGUGCAUAGAGAGAGAGUGAGAGAGGAUAAAUACUGGGAGGAUAAUUACUAGGCAGAAGCAAGUGUUUUCCCGUCAGGAUCAAAAACUGCUGCGACGAUAACAGUGAAUGGUAAUUGCCUGAUAAAUGUAGCAAUGGCUGUGCUUCUACCUUGGAAGGUUUAGAAUAAAAGAUCUCAAGAAAUUACUUGUAUAUUUAGCAAGGAUGUGAAACAUUAAGAUAUUACAAAAUAGUGCAAAAGACAUGACAGAUACCAUGAAAGGAGUUCUUGUCAUGCACCUUUCGCUGCUUCAUGUUUUGAUCGAGAAGAUUCAAGAUGACAUCUUUGAGUGUUUCCUCAUAACCUUCUCAAAGAUCGCUUUGUACUUGGAGAUACCUUCCUCCGAGCUAAUAGUUGUAAUACAUUACUACAAGUGGCAUAUAGCUAAUCUAAUAAAAUGAGAAUACCAGUGAAACAUCUUAAUCCAUACAAAAUAUAGUAGAGAAGAUGAUAACAUAGAACGAAGAAAACAUUUAUUGUCACAUAAAUCAAAAGAUAAGUUCAAACUUUGAAAAACUUGUGCAUAUGAAAUCAAAAAGGUUCACCGAACACCCCCUUUUCCUUCCAAAGAAAAAAAAAGUCCAUAAGAUCUCAAAAACUAAAAAAAAGAACAGCUUACCUAAGAAUGUUCGUAAUGCUACUGUUUCGUUUUACCAUCGAUAUAUUUCACUUUUUCUUGCAAUUUGGUUUCGUUGUCAACAAUUAGCCAAAAAUAUCGACCCAAAAACAAAACAUUCAAAGACAAGUUAGAAUUUCAGAAACUUGCGCAUAAGAGUUGAGAAGUCACCAAAAAUACUCUGUCUUCUUUGAAAUAUAAAAAACACAUAACAUCCUUACACCGAAACGAAAGAAAAUCUUACCUAAGAAAACUCAUAAUAAUACUUAAUUUUGCGUUUCGUCGAUUCAAUUCUUUUGCAGAUUUCACUUCUUCUUGCAAUUUGGUUUCGUUGUCAACACCUAGCCAAAACUACCAACCCAAAAACAGAACAUUCAAAGACAAGACAGAACUUUAGAGACUUGUGCAUAAGAAUCAAGAAGUCACCAAAAAUCCUCCAUCUUCUUCGAAAUAUAUAAAAAAAAUGCAUAACAUACUAACACCGAAAAAGAAGAAAAUCUUACCAAAGAAAGCUGAUAAUAACACUUAAUUUUGCAUUUUGUGGUCGAAUUUAGGAACUUCUUUGAUUGCUAGAGGAAAUUCUUUUGCAGAUUUCCACACCUUCUUGCAGUUUAGUUCGAUGGAGACAAGGAUUUGUUGUCCUCUACGAAUGAUUUUGGAUUUUCGAUAGAGAGCUUAUGGAGUUUUGUCGAGAAAGAGGAUUGUCUUUGAUUUUUGAGAGAGAAAGAGUUAGGGUUUGCACAAAUGGGGGUACUUUUU